AAACGACUCUCGGCAACGGAUAUMU
rnacentral:rRNA from 1 species